UGGGCCAUAGCACAUUUGAAAGGUGCAGUUGUAUGGGAGAUAAUUCCCCUGUCCAUUUUGCUGAACUCUGAAUGCAUUCUGUUACAUUUUAUCAGUUCUUUUUGGUAGCUUGUGCUCAAAAUGCUGAACUGGUGACACCCUAUGGAUCAUGAAGUUGCAACCUUGAUGACAAGCAUAAAGGACUGAGUGGUGAGGAGCAAAAACUACUUUCAAAGUAUGUCUGCUGUUGAAGCAGGAGCUGAAUUCUCAAGUGGUGGAAAUCAGCACAGCUCCAGUUAAAAAUGAAUAAACACUGAUUCACUCCAAGUGCAGAUAUCAAGCGUAGCAUUGACAAAAACCAGAUAAGGAGAAAGAAAACCUGAAAACCUGCACAGCCUCACCUCCCCUAGAACUUGAAAAAGCCCAACCACAAGGAACAAAAUCUGUGGCUGGAGAAUAGGCAACUUCAAGAUGGAGCCAGAGACCUGACAAGAUGAAUUCAGAAGCUGAACUACAUCUUGCCCAAUGCCACAGGAGUACUGUAUUUUGUUAACAAAAUAACCUUUUAUUUCAAGCUCAAGCCACAAUCUUAGCUGGACAAUGUUCGAUGCAAACUGGCCUGAGCCAUGUCUUCUCUGGCAGUGUUUAAGAAAUGCCCCUGAUAGUGCAGGAACUCAAUUGAUGCUAUCAGUGGGCAUAAUGUCACAGCAUUUUCCACACUAAGAAUCUCAUGCUACUUAGAUUGGUGGAGUUGCCUGGUUAUGGGGGUAAUAGCUAGAGAUCUUUCUAUGACUGUCAUGGUAGGUAAUAAGGUGAAGAAAUGACAUGCUGAUAAAAGCAGAGGGAGAGAAAAGGUGGCCUCGUGGUUAUGGCAGGAAAUCUGGGUAUCUGACCUUAUGCCUUGGCCUUGCUACAGACUUUCCACAUGGCCUUAGGUAGAUGACUUAGUCACUCUGGGUGCUUGCAAACAUAAAAAAAACCCACCCCAAAAUGUCACUUUACUUUAAACUCGAAGCAUUACCACACCAAGCCCCAUUCAUGCCUAGAAGAGGCAGCACAUUACUUCAACCUGGCUCAUCCACAUCUGUAAAGACUUUAGUGAGGCUUUUUUGGCACUUUUUAUCUAAUAGCUGAUUCACUCAGCUUUAGCUAAAAGUGCCAAAAAGCCCCACUGAAGCACCCAAUCGUUACAGAUACUGCAGAGCCAGGUUGAAGUAACACACUGCUUUUUCCAGGAAAGUAGGUUUUUUUGUUUUUAACAUCUGCAAGCAGCUCCAGUAACCAAGUUCAUUACUGCUGAAAUGGAAAACUCUUUUUUACCACCUUUGUCUGUCCAGUCUGCUAAGAUCUUCAGGGCAAUUUCUUGAGUCUGAUCUAUGACCAUGCCCACUCUUUAGCAUCACAGAACCUAGACCUUAGCAGGUAUCUAACGGUGGAAAGAGAAUAUUACCUUUCAUUGCCUUUGUCUGUUUGCUUGGCUUUUGUGCUUCCAUAAAUAUUUUUACAGUGGCAUAAAAUCCAAGACGACAAAUGAUCAUGCCCCUUGUGUUACAAAUGCCCCAAAUUUGUGGCUCACAGAGGUGGUAUUAAUUUGUGCCCCUAUUUAGCAGUGGGAGUCUGUUUGCUGCCCACACUCUCUAGUCAUCCCAGCGGGUGCUCUGGCAGGGUCAGAGGGGUUUGAUCCUGUGCAACCUGGGAAUUCUCAUGCAGGAUUGGCCUCCCGGGCAGCCCUGGAGUGCCUGUGUGGCUUCCCCUCUUAAAGACACAUCUUGGGGAACCUCUAUCAACAGUGAAAACAGGUCCUCCACUUGCAGAAUGCAUCCCUGGGAUCUCUGCGGUAUAUCUUUAUAAGUAGGGAAAGCUGGGAUUUCCCCCUGCUUGCAGAAAUGCACUCCUAAGACAUGACCUGAAAAUUUCCUGGAUUGCAUCUCUGUAAGAGAGGAAAGCUGAGCAGGAGCUCCUAGGGCUUGAGGGACCCUACCCUGCAUGGGAAUUCCCAGGAUGUGCAGGACUAGGUCCUUCAAGCUCCAGGAGAACACUUCACCCAUUGUUCUCUUACAUCAAUAGGCAGGACAAUUGGUGACGUGUGUUUCACACAAGGAAACAACCCAGCACAGCUAAUCCACUUCAUUUGACAACAUCUAUUUCAGCCUAUGAGCCACUAAAAUGCCAUAAUACAGUAGUUACUCUGCUAUGGUACAGAUUCAAAGCUAAAGCAAAUUCCUAUGUUGUAUGGAUUCUAUGAAGUGUCCAUUGUACAAGUUUAAACAUGGAACUUAUUGUAUAUUUUUGUUAGAGUUCCUGCAUCAUGUCAAUCUGCUUCUGAUGGAAAUAACCAGCGGUUUUUUAAAACAGACCAGGCCUUCUCCUUGGAGUCUGAAAUAUCACUUGUGGUGGGGCAAUUCUGGGGGGUCAACUGAAAAGAGGGCAAGGAAGGAGGUUUUAAGAAAUCUAAUAUUUUUGUAUAACAAGCAAAGUAAUUGCCUUAUGUUUUGCCCAUUUGCUUAUUAUUUGUUGUCUCCUUUUUAAAGUGUACGGGGUCUGUGUUAUCUCAUGACUGGAAAGCAGUUAGGAUGUCCUGAGUGUCAAUGCAGGUCAAAUAAUAAUUGAACAGAUUCCCAAUAGCAGUGUAUUCAACACAGUAACAGCGUGACACUCCCUGUACCAUGUCAUGAUAAUACAGACGUCAGGGGAAGGUCAAAUUUAGGCCAGUUCAAUUAAGUGUGAACAGGUGCCUCCAGACCACCAUGAAAUAACUAUCUGGUUAAGCCACUCUAAUGGGGUUUGAGGCAUUCACUUCCAUCUGUGUGUGUAACUUUAAACCAUCCUGCAGCAACAGGUCUUAAAUCAGGCUGCUUGACACAGCCAUCCUUACAUUAUCUUUCAGUUAUAAAAAUAAAGCUGUUAACUAUUUUAUCCUGACAAUAGCCUGGAUUUUCCUUUGCUGCAGCAACACAGAGGGAGGAACCGCUAUGGAAUUGCUGGGUGGGUGGAAUCCUUUUCUAAAAUCACUUAAUUAGGAUGGAUAAGGAUUAUUCCACGUGAUGUGGAGCAAGGAGUGGGUCAGACAUCCAAAAUCUGUACCUCUCCAUCAAUCUGCAGGAGCCUGGGACCUUCUGUACCAAGGCCCUGUGCCUCCAUGCCAGCUCUGGACUCCAGUGGAGGCACACAGCCAGAGACUUCUGAGGGCAGUGGCUGCCCCCCAGACUUACUCAGGAGGUUCGGUCGUCUUGGAAGCUCAGAACCCUGUCCCUUCAGAGGGUCCCACUGAAUGUGGAGUUCUGGCCCAUUCAUUCCACGCCACACAAAGUACAAAUGGAGCAAGCCAGGACUGUGCAGGAACCCUGCCUCAUUUCCUACACACUGAGUUUUUCAAUAUGCCGACAUACAAAGUACAAGGUCCCCAUGUUUAAUUUCAUAAUGUUGCUUCAUGUACAUAUGUUUUGCAAUCUGCCUUCAAUUUUAAACAUUGCUUUAUAAAACCCCCCACCCUGACCACUAGUACUUUGUAUUUGCAAGGACCAUUCUGAAAACUUCCUUCCUCUGUUCAAUCAAAACUACCAUUCAACAGAUGCUCAAAGAUACUGCAUAACAAACUGGUGAGUAGCAAAGCUGAAGAAUCGAAGCUGGGCCUUUUGAGUGUCAGUCAGGCCCUUAGCCAAUGAAUUAUAUUCAAGUUAUAAUUACAUACGUUAGGAUGAAAUAUACAGGCGUUUGCAAAAUGUAUGCUGUAUUAAUUUGCAUCCCACACUGGAGCCUACUAAGUUGUGUGAAGUAUACAUCAGUUCAGGGUUUGGUCCAGCACAUUAAGAUUCAAACGUGCUCACAAGCUUUAAUAGAUCCUAAGAUAUGCUGUUCAAUCUGGAAAUGUUUGUUCACAUUUCAUGAGAAUUCUUUUAGUAUGCUGUGGACACUUCUUCCCUUUUUAGGAAAUGUCUUUAGAGAUGCACUUCAACUGUCUAGCAAAAAGUUUAUCCUUGUCAAGCAGUGAUAUGUACAAUUGUACUUGUACAUGAUUAUUUUUGCAGGGGAGGGGUCUUUCUGUAAAUAAUUCCCUUAUAGGGGAAAAUGAAUUGAUUUGCAGUGCAGAGUACCAUUAGUUUUCAUUCACAGAAGGUGGAUAUGUGAUGGUUUGUGCAUGCUGUACCUGCUUGCUGAAAUUCAGUAUACUUUACAAGCUCUGCCUCCAAGAAGUUUAUAAUAAAAUUAUCACCCACCACAUCCCUGUCACACACCUGCCAAAUCUUUUCAUUUGUGUAAACAAAGCCUCUCCACAUGAAGGAUUUUUGAGGACAUAUUAAUCUGAAAGCUUCUGCUUUCAUAUUGCUCUUUAGCAACUUGCUGGAUAAUCCAUUUUGAAAACACUUUCUUUAUUGAAGUCCAUGUUUCAAGUAAACUAAUCUUCCCUGUCCUCUUAAGAUAUUCAUCUAAUUAUGAAAUGCUGAAGAAGAGGUUGGACAGGCAUCUAUCUGGGAUGGUUUUAGAACAGCAAUUUUCAUAGACUGUUUUCUAAAUUCUCAAGCUCUGUAACAGACCUGGUCCAAAGCUGCAUGACGUCAAGACUACUCUGAAGUUUUCCUUGUGGAAUAUCCUUCACAUCAUUUCUGCAUCAGAGUGGGGUUGGAUCCUGUGGAAUGAACAGGGAAAUUUCACCUGUAAAAUAUGAGGAUCCCUCAGGUCUAAAUGGGUAUCAGAAAAUCUGCUAGAGGCUAAGGCUAUCCACAAAGAGGA